rnacentral:rRNA from 1 species
GAUGAACGCUGGCGGCGUGCCUAACACAUGCAAGUCGAGCGAUUCUCUUCGGAGAAGUAGCGGCGGACGGGUUGAGUAACGCGUGGGUAACCUGCCCUGUACACACGGAUAACAUACCGAAGGUAUGCUAAUACGAGAUAAUAUACUUUUAUCGCAUGGUAGAAGUAAUCGAAAGCUUUUGCGGUACAGGUAUGGACCCGACGUCUGAUUAGCUAGUUGGUAAGGUAACGGCUUACCAAGGCGACGAUCAGUAGCCGACCUGAGAGGUGAUCGGCCACAUUGGAACUGAGACACGGUCCAAACUCCUACGGGAGGCAGCAGUGGGGAAUAUUGCACAAUGGGCGAAAGCCUGAUGCAGCAACGCCGCGUGAGCGAUGAAGGCC